UAAAAAGUCAAUAUCUUUAUUAAUAUAUAAUUUGAUAUUUUGCCUAAAAUUUUAAUUUUUCUACAAAUUUAUUUCUAGAAGAUGUCUUACACCACAUCCUUUUCUCCUUAGGUAGCUUGAAGGCUCUUUUCUACUUAGCCUAAAUUUUAUUCUUUCUUCUUUUCUUUUAAAAGUUGAGGUUUAUUUUAUUAUUUAUUGAAAUAAAAU
rnacentral:lncRNA from 1 species